rnacentral:rRNA from 1 species
UACGUAGGCAGCGAGCGUUGUUCGGAGUUACUGGGCGUAAAGGGUGUGUAGGCGGUUCUUUAAGUUUGGUGUGAAAUCUCCCGGCUCAACCGGGAGGGUGCGCCGAAUACUGAGGGACUUGGAGUGCGGGAGAGGAAAGUGGAAUUCCUGGUGUAGCGGUGAAAUGCGUAGAUAUCUGGAGGAACACCGGUGGCGAAGGCGGCAUCCUGGACCAACACUGACGCUGAGUGAGCGAAAGCCAGGGGAGCAAACGGG